rnacentral:lncRNA from 1 species
GAAGUCCGAGGUGCUGGCGAUCUCCCAGAUUGAAAGAACGUUGAUCUGGUCCCAGGUUAUGUCGGGGAGCAAUUGGACUGAAAACGAUGCAUUUUUGUAAGCUGUUUGAUUGAGGCGUUGACCGGAGAUGGGGAACCCACUGGUGAGGUCAGAGAAGUUGAGGGAGACGGCGCCCCAGAAAACGACGUCGGAUGAGCCAGAUAACAUGUCGAAUCCGGUGACCUGGAAAGAGCCGGAUAAACGUCCCAGCUGUUUGAUUUUGUUGGUUGUGACAAUUAUUUAGUAUAACAACUACACUUGCAAUAAUUACGAUCUUCAUCCUGCUAAAUAUACCGGAGAAAAUCAAUUUUCCAGUUGCUUCGGAUCUUUAAAAAAAAAAAUUGAACAUGAAAUGAAAGCAACUCUAAAUGCAAGACUUAAGUGAACUUUCUUUAUCAAACAAAGAAUUAACACUUCCAUCUCCAUCAUUUUCAUUAUUUUUUACUCAGAAUCAAUGAAAAGAAAAGAAAAAAAAAGGUUAAGGUGAGGAUAGUAAUUACAUUAUUAAUGUUCAUUUUUUUAAUAAUUCAAAAAAUUAUAUUGUAUAUAAUGUAUAUUAUUUUUUCAAUUAAUAUAAAAAAUAAUAGUUCAAAAAAAUGCACUACUAAUAUAAAACAUAUAUAACGAAUUAACUGAUAACCAAAAUUUAAAAAAAUCACUAACCAACCUCCAACUGAACUAAAUUCGACAACCAACCAAAUAACCAAAUUAGAUCUAUUCAAUUGAUUGGUUAGAUUUUAACCGAACCAUGAAUACACCUAUAUUCGGGGCUCUUUCAUUGCAUUUUGCUAUCAUUUUGUUUGUCCAAUUAUAAAAAGUUCGAAUAAAUAUAAAAAAAUUUGAUUUAUUAAAAUGGGUAAAUAUUCCAAGAAGUAUUUUACAUAUUUAAAAAUUUAUAUAUUUAUAUUAAUGGUUGAAAAUGUGAUAACUUCAGACGGAAGAUUGAAACCGUUAACACAGUCAAAGAGCCUAGGAGAGAAUCCAUAGAACAAUCCUACAUGUUGACUUUGCCGAUAUUUAUCAUAAACAGUUGAACAGUUCCCAUCAAAAGUCAAAAGUAUAAACUAAUCAAUGAAAAAGAAGAAGCUGUUCUUCUAACUUGUUACUUUGGAUAAACCAAGUGCUUCACCUUUUGAAUUCCAUCUUCUAGAUUUUGAUUUCUAGAUAACAUACACAGAUAAAUCACAAGAAUGUAUAAGCAACAUAAAUAUAUUUAAAACGAAAAAAUCUCGGGUUUGAUUAUGGGGUGCCUAACUGUUUACCAGUCGAACUGCUAUUGUAUGCUUGAUCGACCAAAGGACGGAAAACUCGAUUAAAAUGGCUUGAAUGAAUGAUCUGAUAUGGUGGCUAGAUUACUGAGAGAUUUGCAAGCAGUCAACAAAGGAAAUGGGUCAUUUAUUGAAUGUAAAUUACAUACCUACAUCGGUCAUCGGUAUUCUGCUUCGAAAAUUCAUCUUUAGACAUGUGCUUCUCUGCAAAGAACACCUUUCAUGUCACCAGAAAAAGCUAUGCUCGUCUUUCUUGCAAUCAUAUCGAUAAUCUGUAACAUUAUGAGUCGAACAAAUAAAGGGAAACAGCCAAAAUGAUGAUACUGACAUAGUUACAGCUGAAUUUACCUAUGUCACUCCGACUCUUGACGUUCAUUUUCCCUUGAGUAUUUAUCCAGCACAUAUUCAGACAUGGAUAUGGAGAUAUAAUCCUACAAAUAUCGGGAAAAUUACAAAAGUUAAACAUAUUCAUAUCUUACUUCAGAGUCCGAGUAAGAGGAAUUUACAAUAAGUACCUGUAGGAACAUUUUAGGAGUCUUGGCAUGUGGGUUGACUUAACUUUAUAACCACCUUCAACAAUUGGUUGAUUGAAUCUUUUACCUCAUCCGGAACGGUGAGUUUUGCAGGCACUAAAUCUAAAACAUACAAAGUGAUAACUUUCAUUACAUCAACCAGAAGCAAACUGUUGGUACCGAUUCCCCAUACACUCUUAUUAGCAUACUCGCAUGAAUCCUUUAACAUGCAUCGACUGCAUACCUGAAGAGAUCACCCAUCAGUAAAACAAACAACAUAGGAAGAUUUGUACUCAGUAUAGUAAACAUUGGAAUAAUGGCUUACAGUGUUUUCUUGAAUUUUAAAGAACUUGCGCAAUCUCUUAGCAGCGAAGACAUUAUUUUUAUCAAGGGAAGCGCAACCAAAGAGCACCACUUUUUUCAAGUGACUUCCCGGCAACCAUCUGCAAAUACCAAUAUCGAAGGUUACUUUAUUUACAAGAAGCAAAAGGACAGUCAUUGAAGUAAUGAUUCCCCAAAGCGAUGGCAAGGAGAUGAGCUAUAUAUAAAAGCAAGAUAUAUUAAUAGAUCAACUGCAUCGGUGUACAUAUGGUUGACCAUAUCAUAUCAAGUCAAAAAUUAUGCUACAAUCAUUGAUUGAUAAAAUCUGUCACACCUGAUUUUUUGUCAAACACAUAGAAACCAACUUUGCACAAUUUUAGUAGAACAUCAUAUAGCUCUGCCAAACAUAUGCUGCUAUUAUGUACUUAAUUACUAACAUUGAUUUUAAGUGAAGGUUCAGUGCAAAUCUGCCAGCUUUGCAAUGCUUGAAUCUAAGACCGCAUUCUUACAGCAUGCUAUGGCUAAAUCUCUUGAUAAUUUGACUGAAGAAUGCAGAGAAUUUUUAUAAUACCUCUAAAGUUUAUUUGUAUAAGGGGAGGGUUUAGGGUUGUCCAAGGAUUGAACCCAAGAUUGGUAUCAAUUAAAUACUUGAUAUCAAGUCUUUUGCCACUCAACCUAUGGUUCGGUCCAGAUGAAUAUCUCUAAUAUAACUACAUGAAAAAGAGAUGCUUGACUAUACACUUAUGUCUAUGAAUACCAGUAGUUUUGCACAUAUGUAUGCAUCUAUGCACUUAAAUAUGAUUAUCCCUCUUUCCCUAGUUUCUGAAUUUCUUUUUUAAGUUUUCCUAUAUACCCUCUUACACCAUAACUAUACAAUAUGCAUAAGCUCAAUUCUUUUUAUAUGUUUUUCUAUAUAUAUAUAUAUAUCCUAUAUCCUAGCUCGAACUCUAGUACUUAAGGAAAAAUGAACAGUAACAAUGAAGUAAGAAACUAAUAUUAUCAAUCCACCUAGUUAUUAUAAAUUCAUUUGAAAAAUGCAAAAUAACCAUAAUCUCAAACUCCACUUUCCCCUACAAUGUUAAGAACAACCAAAUAAAACAUCAAGUACAUCAAUCAGCCAACAUGAAUAAAAAAACAUUAACAAUUGUCAAACAAUGUCAAAUCCAAAUUAAAAAAGAAAAAAAGGAGAAAACAAAAGUUCUUACUUUGCAAUAUCUUGAUGAUCUUUACCAAAAUUGUAAGCAGCAAACUUGAUAAAAUCCCUGCCAUAACUAUUCUCAAAGUAACCAAAAUCCAACUUGUUGUCUUCCACAAAACUAGCCUCCUUAAAAUACCCUUUUGUAUACAAAUGCCUGAUGAAAAUCUCAGCUAACUGUGAAAGACCCUUCAAAGCUCUUACCUUUUCCCUUUCUCUUCUAGCUUUCAUCUUCUUUUUCAUCUUUUCUUCUUUGUUUUCAUCCCCAAUAAACUCAACCAAACACUUGAAUUUCUUGGGUCUUUUCCCCUCUAAUUUCUCUGUUUCUUUCUUUUUCCCUUUUGGGUUUUCUUUGAAAUUCCUAAAUUCUUUCACCGACUCAUUGAUUUCGCCUUUUCUCCGGGUUUCAGUUCCUGCGGGUUUUACUGUUAAAACAGUGUCUCGAAACAACAGAGAAAGUGGGGUCUUGGUUGGUAGCUGGGAAGAGGAAUUAAGGGUUCUUCUGAUUAUGAAGGAUGGUGAAGGACAAAGGGUUUUGUAAAGAGGAUUGUGGAUUUUGAGGAGAACUUUGGUACGCGUAGACAGAAUGAAAGCUUUGAAGAGAUACAUUUUGCAGCGGAAGGGUUUAAGAUUAAAAGGAGGGUCUUUUCUGCAGAGGAGCUUAGGGAUCUUAAAUACACAUCCAUCUUUUUAUUACUUAAAAAAUUACUUAUUUAUUAAUAUUAAUCUAUUUUUGUAACUAAAUUUAAAUAAAAUUUUAUUAAAUAAAUAGCAAUUUAAGCUAAAAUGUUCAAUAAAGCUAGGCGAUUUCAAGUGUUAUUAUUUGAAGGUUUGAUUCUUCAAUGUGAUAAUUUUCAAAUUAAAAAAAUCUUUGGGGGUUAGGCGAUUUAUGCUUUAAUUCCCAUUAAAUACCAAUAAAUUUUGCUUAAUUGAAAGCUUAUUUCAUUACUAUGAGAAAACCAAAAACAUUGGUAAGAAGUAUUGAAUCAAUAAAUUAAAAAAAAAUUAAUACAAUACUUUUUACUGGAUUUUUUUAAUUAAAAAAAGUCCCUAACUUUUGUAUUUUCUUCAUUGGCAAGGGGCUUAUCCAUUGAGAUGGCAAAGCUAGCAACCUUUUGCCCAACAAAAAAGAGGAAAUGAAGCACUCGGAUUCUGGUGUUUCAGCUUGCAUGUUUGAUUCCGGCGAUCGACAAUGGUGUCAAAAUACAAGUACAGGGAGUCCUUGUUGGAUGGCAACCAAAGUUUUGGAGCCCGGAACUGGAUACAACUUCAAGGCUGAUAUAUGGUUGUUUGGGAUGUUUAGUUGGAGUUGGCUCAUGGUCGUCCGCCCUUGUCGAUAUAUCUGCCAACAAAGGCUCAUGACUGAAUUAUGUUUGACAUAUUUGAAGUUCUCGAAGCCGUUUAAAGACAUGGUUGCAAUGUGGUUGGUGAAAGAUCAAACCAAGGGGCCAACUGUAGAUAAAUUGUUGAAGCACUUGUUUCUCAAGCAUGCAAAGCCUACUCAGCUUGCUUUAAAGAAGCUAUUAGACUUCCAGGUGAGUGUCUACUUUAACAUAAGCUUAUUUUGCCACCAAAAGCAAAAUUAUCACAAAGAAAGUGAAACAAAAAGGGGAAAAAAACUGACUGUAUAUUUCCGUGUAUUAAGAGUUCAAGAUAACAGAAAAUUAAGGUCUAUUUCAAUCAAGAGAAAUAAGGUACGAUAAAUUGAUCAAGAGUAUCAAAAAGAAUUAUCAAGAGUAAAGGUGUAUCAAGUAUACAAAAUACAUGUUGGUAGAAAAAAGAAUUAUCAAGAGUAAAGCUCUACUUACAGUGGGGAAAGCCGUCCGAGAAAAAAGCAGCUCCAUGUUAGUAAGAAGCUUUCAAAACUGGUGAAGAAUGGAGCUUUUUUAUAUUCAAAAAGAAAAAAUAUAUUAUAUGAAUAAAUCUAUCUGUUCAAUGGCUCUAACUGUACUUCAAUUACUCCAGAACUUUGUGAACCUUUUCGAGCAGAAGCGUCGUUCAGGCUUAAAAGGUCAAUGGAAUCCUCUUCUUUGACGUUGCCGAGAACCCAGUUGUUCCUUCCUUGUAAUCUAUCUCUCUGUUGUCUUUCACGAUACUCCAGAUAAAUUACAGUCAAUGCAGCAAUCAAGAACCAUAUUAUUAAUACCCAGCUAAGAUCGUGGACGUUUUCUACUCUAUAUCUUUCUCCUAAAUGCUUCAUUCCAGUGAAAAGUGCUGCAAUUCCUAUGGCAAUGGCACCUCUGCCGAUAAUUAAAUUAAUCUCUUUGUGGAAGCAUCCUCCCCAUUAGCAGGUUUCUCCGGUCUGAGAUAUGCAUUCAUUGGUUGCACAGAGGCAAAAACUAUGGCAGCAAUACCAAGCUUAACAUGUAACGAGCUAACAUAGAAACCCCGAAGUUCGGCAACUGCAAAAAGAACACCAAGUAGGAUAAUUGCUAAUCCUGAAUAUUGUAGGUAAAUAUGAAUUUGGUACCAUCCAUCACCCUUUACAUGUUUUAGGUAUCUAGCAGCCAAUAUUCCACCAGGAAUCAAAAUACCCCAGGAGAGGAACAUCAUAAACCCAUGUACAGCUAAGACAGGUUGUAAACCUUGCUCAGCCUCAGAAGAACCACGGAUAAGCAGCACUUGCACAGGCCUUUGACUCGUGACCGUAUGCAUGUUUUUCUCACUGAGAUGAUCAUCAGUCCACUUUGAACCUAUUGCCCAUAUGACUUUAAGAGGAGUUGUAGGAUCAACAAUGUUCUUGCACUCUGGCUUAUCAUUUUGAUUGCAUGAUGGUUUUAAUGGACGUGUGAAUUCCAAAGUAAUGAUGCCAUCUUCUGACCUGCACCUGACAUGUGUCAGAUUCUCAUUUGUUGGAUGGAUGUUCAAGGGACGCUUUCCAUCAAUCCAAUAUGUAUUUAAAUGCCCUUUUCCAGUAUCGCCAAUCCAGCCCACAUAUGCAUAGCUAUUCACCAUCCCAUUACCGAAACCUAUUGCAAGAUAGCCACUCUUCUUCACGCCACGGGCAGCAAUAGUUAUUGAAUCUUCUGAUAACGUCCAAAAGAAAGUGACUUGUUGAUCAUCUAAAAGCACACUAUUGUUAUACAUAUCGGACAGGGCACCAUCAACAACUUGAACUUUCCAUCCCAUCUUCUCCUGGUACAAGGACUGAUAAUACACUUGAUCGGGGGUAUUCCUAUCGGGAACCCAAAUCAAUUCGUGAGGAUUUGCUACAACUCCUUCCGCUUCUGGCCCUCCAGAAUAAAUAGUCUCAGUUGCAUUCCUUAAUGUAGCAUUCCCACCAAGAGAAUCUGAAGUAAUAUACAAUGCAACAUCAUGCCCUGCCUGCACCAAAAACUUAACUGGCACCCCUCUUUCCACUCUCAACACCGGUGCUUCCUUAUUAUUAAUAUACAAAACCUUAGACGGACUUGGCGGAUUUGGAUAAUGCAACACCUCCCCUGUUGUAACAACAAGGGGGACUUCUGUAUCAGCAAUAAUCAACUCUUGAUCCUCAUUAUCAUCAGCAUCCAAUGGCCCAAAACAAUCAUCUACCUUCUCUGAAACAUUAAGAACCAAGUGUCCAUAUGCAACCUUCUCUGGACCCCCAUGAAAUUGGGGCAAAAAAUGAGACCGAUUUUCAUUUGGUGGUUUCAUCAACCCUAAUGCCCAAAUAACCCUCAUAUCCUCAUUAGGAUACACAGGCAAAUCAUACUUCUUAUCUGUCGAAUUCAAUGGUUUCCUAAACAUAAUUAAAGAAACCCCAUCUCUCCUAUGUCCAUAAACCAACCUAGUAUUAUUCACCAUCAUGCCAUUUUUCGAGUUCUCAUAAACUACAUCAGGGCAAACACCUAUAGCUGUCCGGUCUUUAGAACUCAACUUACAUUCAGUAUAAGCCGUAAUGUAAAAAUCAUCAACAAAAGGCCUACCUUCCUCAGUAAAACUUGCCACCGUAACAUCAGCUUCGGACAUCAGCUCCUUCGUCCUAUUCGGAUUCGCCCACCCAAAUGCCAUGUAAUAGGUCGUCGGCGCCGCCGCUUCUAACCCGAUCUCGAUCCAAUUUUCCUCCACAUUCAAGUUCCACCGGACCCUAUAAUUAUCCGACAAGUUCUUGCAGUUAUCAAACACUGUAUGCACCGAGUCCGAAACCGAAUCCGACCCGUUUCGAGGGAGGGUGACAUGGCCGAAGUCCGAGGUGCUGGCGAUGUCCCAGAUUGAAAGAACGUUGAUCUGGUCCCAGGUUAUGUCGGGGAGCAAUUGGACUGAAAACGAUGCGUUUUUUGUAAGCUGUUUGAUUGAGGCGUUGACCGGAGAUGGGGAACCCGCUGGUGAGGUCAGAGAAGUUGAGGGAGACGGUGCCCCAGAAAACGACGUCGGACGAGCAGGAUAACAUGUCGAAUCCGGUGACCUGGAAAGAGC